CAGUCGCCGCGGUAAUACGGAGGGGGCUAGCGUUGUUCGGAAUUACUGGGCGUAAAGCGUACGUAGGCGGCUUUGUAAGUUAGAGGUGAAAGCCCGGGGCUCAACCCCGGAAUUGCCUUUAAGACUGCAUCGCUUGAACGUCGGAGAGGUGAGUGGAAUUCCGAGUGUAGAGGUGAAAUUCGUAGAUAUUCGGAAGAACACCAGUGGCGAAGGCGGCCCACUGGACGACUGUUGACGCUGAGGUACGAAAGCGUGGGGAGCAAACAGGAUUAGAUACCCGCGUAGUCCCUGUCUCUUAUAC
rnacentral:rRNA from 1 species